AAACCGUUGAAAGGGAAGCGAAUGGAGUUAGCAAUUCGCCCUGUCAGACUCAGCCGUUCGCGAUUCGCGACGUGCGCGCUCUCGAUCCGCAUGGACGAGACGUGCGCGGGUGCGCGUCUCGAGCGGCGCACUUCUGGCGGGCGAGCGUCAGCGUCGGUUGCCGACGGGCGAUAAGGACGCGGGGAAGGUGGACUCGUCUUCGGAGGAGUUGUUAAAGCCCCGCGAUCGCAUAGCUCGACGGCGACCGUGGCUCUUUGAGGCGACGCGUGCUUGGCUGGCGACUCUCUCUGUCGGUCCGGCAUGUCGACUGCGGCGGACGGCACGCCUGUGCGCUCGAACUGCUGCCGGUCGAUAGGGGGAUGUUCGGACACUACGCGUCGAAGAUGCUGACGACCAUACGGCUCCAUCCGACCCGUCUUGAAACACGGACCAAGGAGUCUAACAUGUGCGCGAGUCUCCGGGUGAUCGAAACCUGUGGGCACAAUGAAAGUGAAGGUCGUCCUAGACGGCUGAGGUGAGAAGCCCCUCGCCCUCGAGGCGGGGGCCGCAUCAUCGACCGACCUAUUCUGCUCACAGAGAGGUUUGAGUAAGAGCGCAUCUGUUGGGACCCGAAAGAUGGUGAACUAUGCCUGAAUAGGGUGAAGCCAGCGGAAACACUGGUGGAAGCUCGUAGCGAUUCUGACGUGCAAAUCGAUCGUCGAAUUUGGGUAUAGCGGCGAAAGACUAAUCGAACCAUCUAGUAGCUGGUUCCCUCCGAAGUUUCCCUCAGGAUAGCUGGAGUUCAUGUAUGCAGU
rnacentral:rRNA from 1 species